rnacentral:rRNA from 1 species
AGAACGAACGCUGGCGGCAUGCCUAACACAUGCAAGUCGAACGAGACCUUCGGGUCUAGUGGCGCACGGGUGCGUAACGCGUGGGAAUCUGCCCUUGGGUUCGGGAUAACAGUUGGAAACGACUGCUAAUACCGAAUGAUAUCUUCGGAUCAAAGAUUUAUCGCCCAGGGAUGAGCCCGCGUAGGAUUAGCUUGUUGGUGAGGUAAGAGCUCACCAAGGCGACGAUCCUUAGCUGGUCUGAGAGGAUGAUCAGCCACACUGGGACUGAGACACGGCCCAGACUCCUACGGGAGGCAGCAGUGGGGAAUAUUGGACAAUGGGCGAAAGCCUGAUCCAGCAAUGCCGCGUGAGUGAUGAAGGCCUUAGGGUUGUAAAGCUCUUUUACCCGGGAUGAUAAUGACAGUACCGGGAGAAUAAGCCCCGGCUAACUCCGUGCCAGCAGCCGC